rnacentral:rRNA from 1 species
UACGGAGGAUCCGAGCGUUAUCCGGAUUUAUUGGGUUUAAAGGGUGCGUAGGCGGCCUAUUAAGUCAGGGGUGAAAGACGGUAGCUUAACUAUCGCAGUGCCUUUGAUACUGAUAGGCUUGAAUGUACUUGAGGUAGGCGGAAUGUGACAAGUAGCGGUGAAAUGCAUAGAUAUGUCACAGAAUACCAAUUGCGAAGGCAGCUUACUAAAGUAUGAUUGACGCUGAGGCACGAAAGCGUGGGGAUCAAACAGG